GACGAACGCUGGCGGCGUGCUUAACACAUGCAAGUCGAACGGGCCCGCCCCUGUUUUUGGGGGUGGGUUGAGUGGCGAACGGGUGAGUAUCACGUGAGUAACCUGCCCCCUGCUCCUGGAUAACUGCUUGAAAGGGCGGCUAAUACGGGGUGUGCCGGCUGGUCCGCAUGGGCCUGGUCGGGAUAGUUUCAUCUUCGAGUGUUUCGGUGGGGGAUGGGCUCGCGGCCUAUCAGCUUGUUGGUGGGGUGAUGGCCCACCAAGGCGGUGACGGGUAGCCGGCCUGAGAGGGUGGGCGGCCACACUGGGACUGAGACACGGCCCAGACUCCUGCGGGAGGCAGCAGUGGGGGGUAUUGCACAAUGGGCGGAAGCCUGAUGCAGCGACGUCGCGUGAGGGAUGGAGGCCUUCGGGUUGUGAACCUCUUUCUCCGGUGGUGAAGGCCCUGUCCGUUGCGGCGGGGUUGACGGUAGCCGGGUAUGAAGCGCCGGCUAACUACGUG
rnacentral:rRNA from 1 species